AAUAUUGCACAAUGGGCGAAAGCCUGAUGCAGCAACGCCGCGUGAGCGAUGAAGGCCUUCGGGUUGAAAAGCUCUGUCUUCGCUAACGAUAACGACGGUAAGCGAGCAGGAAGCAACGGCUAACUAAGUGCUAGCAGCCGCGGAAAUACGUAGGUGGCAAGCGUUGUCCGGAAUUACUGGGCGUAAAGGAUGAGUAGGAGGUCUUUCAAGUGGGAUGUGAAAGCCAUGGGCUCAACCCAGGAACUGAAUUCCAAACUGGAAGACUAGAGUGCGGGAGAGGAAAUUGGUAUUCCAAGUGUAGCGGUGAAAUGCGAAGAGAUUGGGAGGAAAACCAGUAGCGAAGGCGAAUUUCUGGAACGUAACUGACGCUGAGGCAUGAAAGCGUGGGGAGCAAACAGG
rnacentral:rRNA from 1 species